AAAUUGAAGAGUUUGAUCAUGGCUCAGAUUGAACGCUGGCGGCAGGCCUAACACAUGCAAGUCGAACGGUAACAGGAAGCAGCUUGCUGCUUUGCUGACGAGUGGCGGACGGGUGAGUAAUGUCUGGGAAACUGCCUGAUGGAGGGGGAUAACUACUGGAAACGGUGGCUAAUACCGCAUAAUGUCGCAAGACCAAAGAGGGGGACCUUCGGGCCUCUUGCCAUCAGAUGUGCCCAGAUGGGAUUAGCUUGUUGGUGAGGUAACGGCUCACCAAGGCGACGAUCCCUAGCUGGUCUGAGACGGAUGACCAGCCACACUGGAACUGAGACACG
rnacentral:rRNA from 1 species